CCUACGGGGGACAUCAGUGAGGAAUAUUGGUCAAUGGACGAGAGUCUGAACCAGCCAAGUAGCGUGAAGGAUGACUGCCCUAUGGGUUGUAAACUUCUUUUAUAAAGGAAUAAAACGAGGCACGUGUGCCUUUUUGCAUGUACUUUAUGAAUAAGGAUCGGCUAACUCCGUGCCAGCAGCCGCGGUAAUACGGAGGAUCCGAGCGUUAUCCGGAUUUAUUGGGUUUAAAGGGAGCGUAGAUGGGUUGUUAAGUCAGUUGUAAAAGUUUGCGGCUCAACCGUAAAAUUGCAAUUGAUACUGGCAGUCUUGAGUACAGUUGAGGUAGGCGGAAUUCGUGGUGUAGCGGUGAAAUGCUUAGAUAUCACGAAGAACCCCGAUUGCGAAGGCAGCUUACUAAACUGUGACUGACAUUGAUGCUCGAAAGUGUGGGUAUCAAACAGGAUUAGAUACCCCAGUAGUC
rnacentral:rRNA from 1 species